rnacentral:misc_RNA from 1 species
AGGAGAUGGAGGAUUUGUGGCAAAAAAUGGUCUUUCCGGUUAGACGUGUUUGGGGUGCUGUUUCUGCUCGUGUCAAGCCUCGUAAAGAUGGUGCUGGAUUACUGAAGCUUCAAGGCGAUAUACAGUCCUGUGGAUAUGAGGAUGUACAGGUGAUGUGGGAAAUGCUUGGAGGGACGGAUUCAGAGUUGACAUCUCGGCACAUCAAGCGUAAAGCGCCAACGGUUG